UUAAUAUAAAAUUAUUAAUUUUUAUAAUUAAAUUAAUUUUUAAUAAAAAUAAUUUUAAAUUUUAAAGUUUUUGUAUUAUUUAUAAAUUAAAUAAUUUUAAUAAUAAUAUAUUUGUAUAGUAAUAGAUAUUUGAAAUAUUUUUUUUAUUAUUUUAAAAGUAAAUUUAAUUUAUUGUACCUUUUGUAUCAGGGUUUAUUUAAUAAAAUUUUUAUAUUAAAAUUUCUCGAAUUUAAAAGAGUUAAAAUUAUAUAAAAUAUAUUGUGGUAUAAUUAUUUUAAAUAUAAUUUUAGUAAUGAAAUGUUAUUCGUUUUUAAAUAUAUCUAGUUUUUUAAGAAAUGAAUUUAAUUCAUAUAUUUAAUUAAAUUAAUUUAAUUUUAAAAUUAAAAUUUAUUUAAAUAUAAAAAUUUUUAGGGAUUAGCUUAAAAAUUUUAAUUUAUAAAUAUAAAUAUUAUAUUAAAAAAUUAAUAAAAUUAGAAAUUUUUAUUUAUAAAUAAAAUGUUAUAAUUAAUUUAUAUUUAAUAUUAAUUUUUUUAAUUAUUUUAAAUUUAUUAUUAAAAUAAUAUUUUUAAUUAUUGUAAUAUAUAAUAAUGAUAAAAUUAGUAUUAAUUUAUUUAUAAAUAAAAAUUUUAUUAAGAUAAAAAUAAGGAAUUCAGCAAAUAUAAUACUCACCUGUUUAUCAAAAACAUGUCUUUUAGAUUAUAAUUUAAAGUCUAACCUGCCCACUGAUUUAAUUAUUUAAAGGCCGCAGUAUUUUGACUGUGCAAAGGUAGCAUAAUCAUUUGUCUUUUAAUUGAAGGCUGGAAUGAAUGGUUGAAUGAAGUAUUAACUGUCUCAUUUUUAUAAAUUAAGAAUUUAGCUUUUUAAUUAAAAGGUUAAAAUUAAAUUAAAAGACGAGAAGACCCUAUAGAUUUUUAUAUUAUAUUAUAUUAAUUUUAUUAAGUAAAAAAUUUUAUAAUUAUAUAAUUUAAUAUUUGAUUGGGGUGAUUAAAAAAUUUAAUAAACUUUUUUUUUAUUUAAACAUUAAUAUAUGAUUUAUUGAUCCAAUAAUAUUGAUUAAAAGAUUAAAUUACCUUAGGGAUAACAGCGUAAUUUUUUUAGAGAGUUCUUAUCGAUAAAAAAGAUUGCGACCUCGAUGUUGAAUUAAAGGUUAUUUUUAAAUGUAGAAGUUUAAAGUUUAGGUCUGUUCGACCUUUGAAUCUUUACAUGAUUUGAGUUCAGACCGGUGUAAGCCAGGUCGGUUUCUAUCUUUAAUUAAAUAAAAUGUUCUAGUACGAAAGGACCGAAUAUUUAAAAUAUUUUUUAUUAUAAUGAAUAUUAAUAAUUA
rnacentral:rRNA from 1 species